rnacentral:lncRNA from 1 species
GUUCCUAGAGCUCAGAUUCCAAAUCGUCCAGCUUACUGGAGUAUUCCUGAGGAGAUGAAGAAAUUGCAAAGGCAAGUUAAUGAGUUGUUGGCUGAGGGACAUAUCAGGGGGAGUCUCUGUUAGGGUCCCGAACCUGAGAUCGAGUUAGGGGUCUUUCGUGGAGGAAAGUGGAAGGUGUUCGUGAGGGUGAGGACGUGGUGUUCUUUUUGCGACCUAUCUUGAGAAAUUAGAAGACUCAAUUAGAGGGAAUCUCAAACCUCUGAGUUAAAGUACUCAAAACUGUAAUGAUUUCCAAGUUGAUCUCUUCAUUGAUAAUUAUUGAAUAUUUAUACAGGAUGUAAACCACCCUUUGCUACAUCAAUGGAAUCAUGACUUGAUCAUGGAGUCACAACCUCCUAAGAUAAUGGGAGUAACUACCUCCUAAGAUAAUGGUAAUAACUACCUCCUAAGAUAAUGGAAAUAACUACCUCCUAAGAUAAUGGUAAUAACUACCUCUUAAGAUAAUGGAAAUAACUACCUCCUAAGAUAAUGGAAAUGAUUGAAAGUGGAGAUACCCUCCUUACAUUGUGGAAACACUAACAAAUGCUUAAAGAAAAAUGCAACAACUAAAAAUAGAAACUAAACUGGUCAACCUUCAAUCCUUACUGCUUUCCCAUCUUCAGUAGGCUGUACACGUGGCUGUUUCUUCUGACUGUGAGUGUAACGUGUAUACACUUGUAAUGGCUUUGUAUCAAUACUUCCCGUCCCCUUAGGAAGCUUGUCCUCAAGCUUAAAAUGCGGAUAACGAUCCUGUAUAUCUUGAACAUUUUCCCAAGAGGCAUCAGUUUACUCACCCAGUGUUGUUGAGGGAAGGAAAGUGAGCGUUGCUCUAGUAAAAAUUUCAAGGUGUAGUGGUCAAUUCGCACCAGAAACUUUUUGCCCCAAAGAUAUGAUUGCCAGUGUUUAAUUGCUUUGACCAAGCCAAUCAGCUCCCUUUCAUAUGCCGGAAGACUAACAUGUCGGCCCGCCAUUGCUCGGCUAAAGAAGGCCACUAGUUUAUUUUCUUGUAGUAGCACAGCUCCAAUACCUGUGUCAGCACACUCAAGAACAAACAGUAGCUCGAAAUUCGGAAGAACUAAUAUGGGUGUGGUAGUCAGGGCCGUCUUCAAAGUUUCAAAUGCCUGAAUUGCUUCGUCAGUCCAUUGAAAAGAGUUUUUUCGUAACAAGGCAGUGAGAGGAGCAGCUAUAGUACCAUAGUUGAAUACAAACUUCCGGUAAUAGCCAGUAAGUCCAAGGAAACCCCGCAACCCCCGGAGAGUAACACGUCUAGGCCAUUCUGUGAUAGCUGCGAUUUUGGAAUUAUCCACCUGCACCCCCUUCUGUGAGAUUACAUGAAACAAGUAUGAAACCUGAGUUUGGGCAAAGGUGCACUUGGAGCGUUUCAAGAAUAAUUUAUUUUUUUCCAAGAUGUGGAAUACUUGACGAAGGUGCUGCAUAUGUUCUUCCCAAGAUUUACUGAAAACAAGGAUGUCAUAAAAAAAAACCAAUACGAAUUUACGGAGGUGUUCCUGGAAUACCUCAUUCAUUAAAGCUUGAAAAGUGGAUGGUGCGUUGGACAAUCCAAACGGCAUGACCAGAAAUUCGAAAUGACCGUGGUGAGUUCAAAAGGCUGUUUUUUCAAUGUCUGGUGGAUACAUGCCGAUCUGAAAAUAUCCAGAAAGCAAGUCUAAUUUGGUGAAGAACUUUGCCCCUCCCAAUUCGUCCAGAAGCUCAUCAAUAACAGGAAUUGGGAAUUUGUCUUUGAUGGUUUUGGCAUUGAGUUCCCUGUAAUCCACACACAAGCGCCAUGAUUUAUCAGCUUUGGGAACUAGAAUUACCGGAGAUGAAAAAGGAGAUCUGCUCGGGCGGAUGAUUCCUUGUUUGAGCAUAGCAGUACACUGGCGUUCAAUUUCAUCUUUUUGCCCAUGGGGAUAUCUGUAGGGGUGUACCACCACUGGUUUAGUGUUUGGUUCCAAAGGAAUACGGUGGUCACAGGAACGGGCGGGAGGUAGCCCUGUUGGUGGAUUAAAAAGAGAGGCAUAUUCAAAUAGUAAUUUUUGAAGUUGGGUAUCUGGGUCGGUAGCCGGUAAUAGAGAAUGAAGAUUAGGCUGCGUCCCUGAUCUAGAAUUUAUGCCGUAGAGUUCCACCUGUUUCCCUUGGACGAAGAAAGACAUCCACAUAAUGUUAAAGUCCCAUAGGAUGGGGCCCAGCGUUGUCAACCAAUUAACGCCAAGGACAAUGUCAAAGCCAGUCAAUUGCAAGACAAAUAAUUCCACCAUAAAAGUGGUAAAUCCCAAUUCGAUCGGUGCCCCCUUGCAAAUUCCAGGACUGCGGAGCUGUUUGCCAUUGGCGACAUUAACACGUAACCCAUCUUUCUCAUCCACUUCUGCCUGUAAUUCAUCAACUUUGGAAACAGAGACAAAGUUGUGAGUGCUUCCUGAAUCAACAAGGAUUAAUACCUGGGUUCCUUUCCAACGCCCCAGCAAACGCAUGGACUGUGGAUUGCGUGUUCCAGUAAUUGCGUGGAGAGAAAUUUCAGGUGGUAGAUCUGAGUCGGCGUCUUCCUCUGAAUUUGUUCCGUCUUCUAGAUCAAUCCAAAACAACCGUUUACAGUGAUGGCCACGCACAAACGGUUCAUCACAAUUAAAACACAACCCCUUUUUUCUCCUUUCAUCCAUUUCGUCUCUAGUGAGCCUUUUAAUUGUGCGGUUGUUGCGUGAAUCCGGAAGUGGAGAAUUGCGUUUGAUAUCUCGAGUGGUGGAGCUCCUGGUGUAAAGCUUCCGUUCAUACAAGCGAGACAUGCUCAUUGCUGUGACAAGAUCCUGUGGUUGGUGCAGCUCGACUUCAACAGAUAUGGAUUCCUGCAAGCCACUGAGAUACAAAUACAACUGAACCUUUUGGUUCUGAGUUAAGGUGCUAGCUCUGGAAACCAAAACUUCAAAUUUGUUUUGAUACUCCUCCACUGUGCCCGUUUGUUUUAAUUUGGCAAGUUCUCCCAGUUUGUUGCUUCGGAUAGGGGGUCCAAACCGCAAAUUGCAUUGGUUGACAAAUUCAGACCAUGUAGGAUUGGGAAUAUCUUGAAUCAUCUGUAAGUACCAUAGCUGUGCAAUUCCCUCUAGGUGGUAAGAAGCUAAACUCACCUUUUCCUCUUCAGGAGUGGAUUGGUGCCGGAAAAAGUGUUGACAACGGCUAAUCCAUCCCAAAGGAUCUUCCUGGCCAUUAAAGCGAGGGAAGUCAAGUUUCGUGAAUUUGGGCACAAUGACGUUGCCUCUCGAAGCUUCAGAGACUGUUGCUCCAAUAGGUCCUUUUUCGCGCCGAGUUUGAGCUUGACUUUCUGCACCUGGAGAAGAAGAUAGUCCCUUUCCGGCAGAUUCCAAUUCGAGAGACAUAGCCUCCAUUUUGGCGUGAAGCUGCUCAACCUUUUCAUGGCGGGCCUGAUUAGCUUGCUGUUCAGAAAGGACAAGGUUGAAAAGUUUUGUAAGUUGAUCUUGAACGGAUUCCCCCAUAACUGUUGGCUCUGAUACCAAAAUGUUAGGGUCCCGAACCUGAGAUCGAGUUAAGGGUCUUUCAUGGAGGGAAGUGGAAGGUGUUCGUGAGGGUGAGGACGUGGUGUUCUUUUUGCGACCUAUCUUGAGAAAUUAGAAGACUCAAUUAGAGGGAAUCUCAAACCUCUGAGUUAAAGUACUCAAAACUGUAAUGAUUUCCAAGUUGAUCUCUUCAUUGAUAAUUAUUGAAUAUUUAUACAGGAUGUAAACCACCCUUUGCUACAUCAAUGGAAUCAUGACUUGAUCAUGGAGUCACAACCUCCUAAGAUAAUGGGAGUAACUACCUCCUAAGAUAAUGGUAAUAACUACCUCCUAAGAUAAUGGAAAUAACUACCUCCUAAGAUAAUGGUAAUAACUACCUCCUAAGAUAAUGGAAAUAACUACCUCCUAAGAUAAUGGAAAUGAUUGAAAGUGGAGAUACCCUCCUUACAUUGUGGAAACACUAACAAAUGCUUAAAGAAAAAUGCAACAACUAAAAAUAGAAACUAAACUGGUCAACCUUCAAUCCUUACUGCUUCCCCAUCUUCAGUAGGCUGUACACGAGGCUGUUUCUUCUGACUGUGAGUGUAACGUGUAUACACUUGUAAUGGCUUUGUAUCAGUCUCAGUCCAUGCGCAGUGCCUAUUUUGCUCGUUCCAAAGAAAGAUAGACAACACGCAUAUGUGUUGGUUAUUGUGUGAUUAACAAAAUCACUGUAAAAUAUCGCCAUCCUAUUCCUAGAUUAGAUGAUAUGCUUGAAGAAUCAUGUAGUGUUGUUUUCUUUACGAAAAUUGAUUUAAAAAAUGUUAUCAUCAAAUUAGGAUGAAGUUAGGUAAUGAGUGGAAAACUACCUUUAAAUAUGAUUUAUAUGAAUGGUUUGUGAUGCAUUUUAGCCUAAUUAAUGCACCUAGCACCUUUAUGAGAUUAAUGAACCAUAUUUUGCGUGAUUACCUAGGUAAGUUUGUGAUUGUGUAUUUUGAUGAUACAUUGAUUUAUAGCCGCAACUUGGAUGAUUAUAUUAGGCAUGUUGAACUUGUUCUACAAAAGUUGCGUGAGCAUGAAUUGUAUGCUAAUCUUAAGAAAUACACAUUUUGUACUGAUAGUGUCAUAUUCCUACAAUUCGUUGUUAAUUUAUGUGGAGUUAAGGUAAAUACUGAAAAGGUUAAAGCUAUCCAAGAAUGGCCUACACCUAAAAAUGCUAGUGAAGUGAGAUCCUUUCAUGCAUUAGCAAGAUUUUAUAGGAGGUUUGUUAUAGAAUUCAGCACUACUAUUGAACCUCUAAAUGAGAUCAUUAAAAAAGUUCUUAGGUUUAAAUUGGGUAAAGAACAGAAACUUGCAUUUAACACAUUAAAAUAAAAGCAUACUAUUACUCCUGUUUUAAGGUUACCUAAUUUUUCUAAAACCUUUGAAAUCAAAUGUGAUGCUUCUAGGAUUGGUACUAGUACUGUUCUUAUGCAGGUAGGCCAACCCAUAGCAUAUUUCAGUGAGAAGCUAAGUGGCGCACAUUUGAACUAUUUCACCCAUGACAAAAAGUUCUAUGCACUGAUUAGGACUCUUGAAGUUUGGGAACACUACUUGCUGCCUAAUGAGUUCGUGAUUCAUACCGAUCAUCAGUCUCUCAAACACUUAAAGGGACAAGAUAAGUUGAAUAAGCGGCAUGGUAACGGAUUGAGUAUCUCGAAAUCUUUCCUUAUGUGAUUAAAUACAAGGUAAGGAGAAUGUGGUUGCUGAUGCAUUAUCUAGACGUUAUGCAUUGAUUUCCAUGCUUAGUUCUAAGUUAUUAGGGUUUGAGCAUUUGAAAGAUACGUAUGAGAAUGAUACUGAUACUGAUUUUUCUGAUGUAUUUAAGACAUGUGAAUAUAGGCAUUUAACGAGUUUUAUUUGCAUGGUGGUUUCUUUGUAGGGGGAAACAAAUAUGUAUACCUAAUUGUUUGGUGCGUGAGUUGCUUGUUAGAGAAUCGCAUUUAGGAGGGUUAAUGGCUUUAGACAAUGAACAUUUUUAUUGACCUAAUAUGCGAAAAUAUGUAAAAGAAAAUUUGUGCUCAAUGCUUCGCAUGUAAACAGGCUAAAUCUAAAUCCUUGCCACAGAUUAUAUACUUCUUUGCAUGUACCUAUUGAACCUUGAAUUGAUAUAUCCAUAGAUUUUGUGAUAGGUUUCCCUAUGACAAAAAGUAGAGAUUCUGUGUUUAUUGUUAUAGAUUGCUUUAGCAAGAUGGCACAUUUUAUUCCAUGUUAUAAAACUGAUGAUGCAAUGAACAUAGCUGAUUUGUUUUUUAGAUUGUUUUUCAGGGAAGUAGUCUAUUUGCAUGGUAUACCUAGGACUAUUAUUUCUGAUAGAGAUUUUAAGUUCCUUAGUCAUUUCUGGCAUGUUUUGUGGGAAAAAUUGGGUACUAAAUUUUUACUUUCUACUACUUGUCAUCCACAAACAGAUAGCCAAACUGAAGUUGUUAAUAGGACUUUAAGAACUAUGCUUCGUGCUAUUGUGGGUAAAAACUUGAAAACUUGGGAAGAAUGUUUGCCAUAUGUUGAAUUUGCUUAUAAUCCAUUCUUCUACUGGUUAUUUACCUUUUGAGAUUGUGUAUAGUUUUAAUCUAUUAACUAUAUUAGAUUUAAUGCUUUUAUCUUUGAAUGAGUU